rnacentral:tRNA from 1 species
CUGCUCGUAGCACAACGGAUAAUGCACCGGACUCCGACUCCGGGGAUUGCGCGUUCAAAUCGCGCCGAGCAGA